rnacentral:lncRNA from 1 species
CACUUCUAUAUAAAAAUAUAUAUACAAAACCUUGCUAGUGAUAAAUACAAAUAUCUUACACAAAUGUCAUAUGUAUUUUAGAAUUACAUAUGCUCACUGAAAUGGCCUUAUGUAUGUAAAAAAUACAUUUCAAUAAAUAAGAACUACACGUCACAUUCAAAAUCUAAUGACUACCAAAUACAACAUAUGAAGAAAAAAUUGAGUUUCCCCUCAAGUAACUUGAUGGUGCAGAAUUAGUUACUAUGUUCUAUAUAUAUAUAAUGAAUAAAUUGUUGAUUGGCUAAUCAAGGCAAAAAGAGCUUAUUCAAAUGCUAUAGACAUGAAUGUAUCAUCAUCCAACGCACUAUCAACAUCGAACAACUCCUCUUCAGGGUAGAUGGUAUCUUCUGGGAACUUCAAAAUUUAAGUUGGACCAUCCUGCUGCAAAGGAGAAGAAAAAAGUAUGAAGAAAAAAACACCAACUGACAUAUGAAGAAAAAACACCAAAAGACAAUCAAAGAUGAGUAACAGAUGCGUAAUUGAGAAUUCACACAUAUGUGCAGUGUUAAGUAGCUAACAAUUUGAAAUAAUCAACCCAUCAAAUUACAAUCAGAAAAUCGAGGUACACUACAACUAUGUAACUAACAAAAGAUCUCUCUCCAACACAGAUCUGUCCUAAACGAUGGUAGUUCAUCGGAAACCAAAUUCAUCGGUUGAAUACCGAAACUACUACGAUUUGCAUAUUGUGUCAUUAUAGCGAAACUUCGAAAAAUUUCAACGCACACAAAAAAGAAUCUAACAGACCAAAUCGGCUAAGAAGAAUGAAAAAUUUGAAAAAAAAAAAUUAUAUGAAAAAUAUAACUUGCAUUAACUUUAAAAUAAACUUACCUUAAUUGAAGGAUGCAAUGUUUAUCAAGAUCUCAGAUAAAAACGAUUUUUGAGAAAAAAAAAUUAAAGAUUAGAGGGAACUGGAUUUGGUAAAUUAGCGUGAAAAGGGGAUGGAUAAAAAGAAAAGUUCAAGUCAUGCGCUUUUCCCUAACAAAGGUAAAAUAUUGCUAUAUUUUGUUAUUAGUUGUAAUUUUGAGAAACUAUUGCUAUUAAUUGUAAUUAAUGUCUUAAGGUUGUUAGUUUACGUAAUUUUUCCAUAAAAGAAAGGGGUGUGGAGUGGGGGUAACGGUGGAGAUGUAAGAAAAAAAAUAAAAGAAAAGGGUGCAAGGUACGGGGGAUGUGGGGGUGUGGGUGAGGGUGAGAGGGUGGGUAGCUUUGGAGAAGAAAAGGUGUGAUUUGAAUAUAGGAUAAGAA